GGGAAUGUAGCUCAGUGGUAGAGUGCUUACCUAGCAUGCAUGAGGCCCUGGGUUCGAUUCUCAGUACCA
rnacentral:tRNA from 1 species